rnacentral:tRNA from 1 species
GAUUGGGGUAAUACUUACCCCAAUCAAGAAUCGCUAUUUAUAUAGUUUAAAAAAAACCCUACAUUUUCAUUGUAAAAUUAAAUCAUUCUUUGUAA